UGGCAUCUCGAUCUGACUAACUGGGCCAG
rnacentral:piRNA from 1 species